CAGACUCAGGAACCCAGCUGGCUUCACCCAGUGGAUACCGCACAGGGGCUACAGGUGGAGCUGCCUGCCAGUCGCGCCGUGCGCCGGCACUCCUCAGCCCUUGGGUGGUCGAUGGGACUGGGCGUGGUGGAGCAGGGGGCGGCGCUCGUCGGAGAGUCUCGGGUCUCAGGUCGCACAGGAGCCUACGGAGCGGGGGAAGGCUCAGGCAUGGCGGGCUGCAGGUCCUGAGCGCCGCCCCGCGGGAAGGCAGCUAAGGUCUGGCGAGAAAUUGAGCACAGCAGCUGCUGGCCCAGGUGCUAAGCCCCUCACUGCCCCGGGCCGGCGGCUCCAAGUGCGGGGCCCGCCCGAGCCCACGCCCACCAGGAACUCGCGCUGGCCCGCAAGCACCGCGCGCAGCCCCGGUUCCCGCCCGCGCCUCUCCCUCCACACCUCCCCACAAGCUGAGGGAGCCGGCUCCGGCCUUGGCCAGCCCAGAAAGGGGCUCCCACAGUGCAGCGGUGGGCUGAAGGGCUCCUCAAGUGCCGCCAAAGUGGGAGCCAAGGCAGAGGAGGCGCUGAGAGUGAGCAAGGGCUGUGAGGACUGCCAGCACGCUGUCACCUCUCAGUAACAGUAAGAAGAGAGAGGAGGACAUCUAAUUCUGGAAGAAAUGUGCCCAUUCGGAAACUACCUUGACCGAUAAGAGCAGAAAGCCCCGGAAGAAUAUUCACCGGACUUCUCUGGGGGAAGGAUUACAGCUCAGAAACCACAACAGAUGGAAGCGGGUGUGGGCCAUAAUUAGUGCCCGAGGUGAGUGAAGAAAGCCAGGAAAACCUCGUCAAAGGAAAUCAGCCUAGAGAAUAAAGGCUCCCUGGGUUUGCUUUGGAAGAAAGGACAGGGGAUUAUGUCCUUGCGCCUUCAAGAACAAGAGACCUGGCACUGGAUUAAACCAUCCAAAUAGUAAAACCAAUAAUUAUGUGUUGUGGGCAGGGCCAGCCUGGUUUCUCAGUGCCACAUCCACUUCCUGUGGUGCGUGGCAGGUCUACAGGGAACGGCAAUGCCAAAUUUCCUCAGCUUUCUUUUCAGUGCAGGGAAGUUAGAAUAAAGCCAGAGAGUGUGGCUUGAAGAUACAAAGCAAGCCACUGAGAAGAUCAUUUGAGCAAGACGAGCCAGGUUUCAACCAGAAUGGCUCGUUCUCUGUGAUCGGUUGGCCGAGCCGGGGACAUGCUCUGGUGGUGGAACUAGUCUGGGUGAAAAUGAUUUGGAGGAAGAAGACCAAGGGCGGGAAGUGAGUGAAGAAGCAACUGCGUAUUUCGGACAAAGAACGGGUUUGGCUGACUUCUCGAUCUUUCCCAAGGACUGCACGAGAACAUUCAGGAAUUGCUAACCUCUGGGAGAAGUUUGGAUCAUGGUUCCUGCCCUCAGCCAUGGCUUUGGCAUCAGCACCCUCUGUCAAGAGAAAUGGCUCAUUUCCCUUUGUCCCACAAAGUCAACUUAAAAAAAAAUGACCUAAUUCAGCAAAAUUAGUCAUUGGCUACCUUCAUAUACAGGAGCUAUGGGAGUGGGAGGUACCAAAGAAGAAGCUGUGGCUCUCACCAUGUUGGAGUUCAAGGAGGGUGAUGGCCAUCGGGGGUGCCAGCUUUGGGAGUGUCCCUCUGAAAAUGAGUCCUUCCCAGUAUCAUCCACCCCAUGGAGUGAUACUCCAGGGUGUCUGUCUCCUUAUGCCCAUGUGACUGGGUGGUACACACCCUGGAGUGAGGAGGUGGUCCUCACAGAGGUCCUUUAGGUCAGGAUUCCCAGAGGGUCCGCCCAGAAGUCCCUUUAGCUCCACCUCCCUGAAGGUCCUGGGAUAGGGCUCUGCCCAUACUGAGGGCUCAGUGAUCUCAGCACGAUACUUGGGCAAAAUGUGCUUACCUCAUCUACACCCUCUAAAUUUUUAGGAGGCACCCACUUGCUGCAAUGCAUUACUCAGCAUUGUGGGGUUCUUUUCUCACAUGCUUUGACUGGCAGGGAGUUCACUGCCUUGGUAAAGAGAUACAGUCAGUUAACUAGGGAACAAGGUACCCCCUGCCUCCCCAACCCUGCCUUUUUUUGAGACAGGGUCUUUCUCUGUUGCCCAGGCUGGAGUGCAGUCUUGUGAUCAUAGCUCACUGCAGCCUCAAUCUCCUGGGCUCAGGUGAUUCUCCCACCUCAGCCUCUUGAGUAGCUGGGACUACAGGCGUGUGCCACUAUGUCUAGGUAAUUUUUAAAUGUUUUGUAGCGGGGGGGAUCUUACUAUAUUGCCCAGGCUGGUCUCAAACUCCUGGGCUCAAGGAAUCCUCCCACCUCAGCCUCCCAAAGCACUGGGAUUACGAGCAUGAGCCGCCCAGCCCUGCUUCUUUUUUACCCUUCUCUAUGACAUGUAUCACCAAAU
rnacentral:lncRNA from 1 species